rnacentral:misc_RNA from 1 species
GCACACUAGUUGCUGAAAGAUCUGCAGUAAGUAAAGAUGAGAGUAAGAUAUGAUGUGAUAUUUGAUUUUUACGCAAGUUCAAAUGGCAAACUGUAACGUGCAUAAAAGGCAUUUAUGGAGUGGACAACAUAUAACCAUAUCAUAUAACAAUGGGUCUAAAUCAUGCUGAUAUUUUCUUCAAACCUGUAGCAUCCAAGGCACGGAUUG